UAUGUCCACAGCGCUCCAGGGCGUGGUCUUCUGCCUGCUGGGUGCCCAGCCCCUGUUGGUGAUCGGCUUCUCAGGGCCCCUGCUGGUCUUUGAGGAGGCCUUCUUCUCGUUCUGUAGCAGCAACCACCUGGAGUACCUGGUGGGCCGCGUGUGGAUCGGCUUCUGGCUGGUGCUCCUGGCCCUGCUCAUGGUGGCCCUGGAGGGGAGCUUCCUGGUCCGCUUCGUCUCCCGCUUCACCCAGGAGAUCUUCGCCUUCUUGAUCUCGCUCAUCUUCAUCUAUGAGACCUUCUACAAGCUGGUGAAGCUGAUGGAGGCCGUGUGGCCUCCUCUCCCCAGAUCUUCCAGGAGCACCCCCUGCAUGGCUGCUCAGCCUCCAACAGCUC
rnacentral:sRNA from 1 species